GGGGGCGAUAAGGUUUCGACGGGGUGAGUGAGGAAAGUAUAAAGCGUGUGGUUGAUGACUUGAAACCUAAAAACUGGUCAAAAAAAUAAACGCAAAUAAUAACUAUCAAACUGUAAAGGCUGCUGCCUAACAGUCGCUUAUGGAUGUCUUUCCACUUUGGAUAGCCAAAGCGUCAAACUAAAAGUGGAUAGCGAUUUUUAGCAAUACCUUGAGUUAAAAAUUGAAAUUUUAUAGGUUCGAUUGAGAAAAUUUGUUUGUGGACUAUUCUCAAUUUAAAUUCAAACACAAACUGCACACGGAGAAAGGCUUUUUAAACUUGUUUCGGACGCGGGUUCAAUUCCCGCCGUCUCCACCA
rnacentral:tmRNA from 2 species